UACGGGGGGGGCAAGCGUUGUUCGGAAUUACUGGGCGUAAAGGGUUCGUAGGUGGCCUACUAAGUCAGACGUGAAAUCCCUCAGCUCAACUGGGGAACUGCGUCUGAGACUGGAAGGCUUGAGUGCAGGAGAGGAACGCGGAAUUCCAGGUGUAGCGGUGAAAUGACGUAGAUAUCUGGAGGAACACCGGUGGCGAAGGCGGCGUUCUGGACUGUUACUGACACUGAGGAACGAAAGCCAGGGGAGCAAACGGG
rnacentral:rRNA from 1 species